rnacentral:rRNA from 1 species
UAAUAGUGUAUAUUAAAGUUGUUGCAGUUAAAAAGCUCGUAGUUGAAUGUUGGUGUCGAACGAGCGGUCAGCUUCGGCUGUACUGCUCUCUCGACUCCUUCCUUCUGUGGACUACGUCGCACUUUACUGUGUGGCGCUAGGACGCAGAUCGUUUACUGUGAAAAAAUUAGAGUGUUCAAAGCAGGCCGUACGCUUGAAUACAUUAGCAUGGAAUAAUGGAAUAGGACGUCGGGCCUAUUUUGUUGGUUCUAGGACCGUCGUAAUGAUUAAUAGGGACAGUUGGGGCCGUUUAUAUUCCGUAGUCAGAGGUGAAAUUCUUGGAUUUACGGAAGAUAAACUACUGUGAAAGCAUUCGGCAAGGAUGUUUNCGUUA